rnacentral:rRNA from 1 species
AGAUUGAACGCUGGCGGUAUGCUUAACACAUGCAAGUCGAACGGCAGCACAGGGUAGCUUGCUAUCCGGGUGGCGAGUGGCGGACGGGUGAGUAACGCGUAGGAAUCUACCUUUUCGUGGGGGAUAACCCGGGGGAAACUCGGGCUAAUACCGCAUACGCCCUACGGGGGAAAGCGGGGGACCUUCGGGCCUCGCGCGGAACGAUGAGCCUGCGUCCUAUCAGGUAGUUGGUGAGGUAAUGGCUCACCAAGCCGACGACGGGUAGCUGGUCUGAGAGGACGACCAGCCACACUGGGACUGAGACACGGCCCAGACUCCUACGGGAGGCAGCAGUGGGGAAUAUGGACAAUGGGGGAAACCCUGAUCCAGCAAUACCGCGUGUGUAGAAGAAGGCCUUCGGUUGUAAGCUACUUUUAGCGAAGGAAAGAAAGG